rnacentral:rRNA from 1 species
UGGGAAUUUGGACAAUGGGCGAAGCUGAUCCAGCAAUGCCGCGUGUGUGAAGAAGGCCUUCGGGUUGUAAAGCACUUUUGUCCGGAAAGAAAUCCUUGGCUCUAAUACAGUCGGGGGAUGACGGUACCGGAAGAAUAAGCACCGGCUAACUACGUGCCAGCAGCCGCGGUAAUACGUAGGGUGCAAGCGUUAAUCGGAAUUACUGGGCGUAAAGCGUGCGCAGGCGGUUUGCUAAGACCGAUGUGAAAUCCCCGGGCUCAACCUGGGAACUGCAUUGGUGACUGGCAGGCUAGAGUAUGGCAGAGGGGGGUAGAAUUCCACGUGUAGCAGUGAAAUGCGUAGAGAUGUGGAGGAAUACCGAUGGCGAAGGCAGCCCCCUGGGCAAAUACUGACGCUCAUGCACGAAAGCGUGGGGAGCAAACAGGAUUAGAUACCCUGGUAGUCCACGCCCUAAACGAUGUCAACUAGUUGUUGGGGAUUCAUUUCCUUAGUAACGUAGCUAACGCGUGAAGUUGACCGCCUGGGGAGUACGGUCGCAA